rnacentral:rRNA from 1 species
CGGGGUGAGUAAUGCUUGGGAAUCUAGCUUAUGGAGGGGGAUAACUACGGGAAACUGUAGCUAAUACCGCGUAGUAUCGGAAGAUGGAAGUGUGGGACCUUCGGGCCACAUGCCAUAGGAUGAGCCCAAGUGGGAUUAGGUAGUUGGUGAGGUAAAGGCUCACCAAGCCGACGAUCUCUAGCUGGUCUGAGAGGAUGACCAGCCACACUGGGACUGAGACACGGCCCAG